GGAAUAUUCAGCUCUGCAUUUUAUGCACUGAUUGUACUUCCUUCUUUCAUCUUUCAUCCCCCAAACAAUUAUGUUUCCAUCGCUAUCUCUACCAACAAUUCCACCUUCAUUUGGCUUGCCUUUGUAGCUUUCCCAAUGACCAACUUAUUGGCAAUCCUCAAAGUACGAUGGUUGUUUAAUUGGAUUCUCCAUGUAAAGCUCUAUUGCUUAUCCUUCAUCCUCAAGACUAUCUCAUUAGCAUCGAAAUCUUGCAAUGCUCGGCUUAUAGACAAGAAUGGCCUUCCCAAGAUUAUUGACAUCUGAUAUGCCUCUUCUAUAUCGAGGAUGAUGAGGUCAGCUGGAAAAAUAAACUCUUCCACCUUGAUAAGCAUGUCUUCAACUAUUCCAUAGAAGUGUUUCAGUGAUCGAUCUACCAGUUGAAGGAUGAUAGAAGCAGCCUUAGGAUCUCUCAAUCCUAGUUUCCUGUAAAGAGGCAAAUGAAUUAAGUUAAUACUUACUCCUGAGUCAAUUAAACAAUUUAUAUCUUGUAAAUUUCCUAUGGAGAAAUGUAGAGUAAAAUUCCCU
rnacentral:lncRNA from 1 species